rnacentral:rRNA from 1 species
GACGAACGCUGGCGGCGUGCUUAACACAUGCAAGUCGAACGGUGAUGCUCCAGCUUGCUGGAGUGGAUCAGUGGCGAACGGGUGAGUAACACGUGAGCAACCUGCCCCAGACUCUGGAAUAAGCGCUGGAAACGGCGUCUAAUACUGGCUACGAAACGGGCCCGCAGGGGCAUGGUUGGGAAAGUUUUUCGGUUUGGGAUGGGCUCGCGGCCUAUCAGCUUGUUGGGGAGGUAAUGGCUCACCAAGGGGACGACGGGUAGCCGGCCUGAGAGGGCGACCGGCCACACUGGGACUGAGACACGGCCCAGACUCCUACGGGAGGCAGCAGUGGGGAAUAUUGCACAAUGGGCGAAAGCCUGAUGCAGCGACGCCGCGUGAGGGAUGACGGCCUUCGGGUUGUAAACCUCUUUCAGCAGGGAAGAAGCGAAAGUGACGGUACCUGCAGAAGAAGCACCGGCUAACUACGUG